GAUUUAUGACAGCUUAGAAUUCCUGGCCAGCUUCAACAAUGGUCGUCAUUACGUCUGGCAAAUGAUGACAAAUGGACUGCCAUGCUUCAGCUGUCAGCUGUCUGCAUGCGGCACUGGCAUCAUCUAGCGGUUGUUUUUACAAUUCAGACGAUUGUCCAGUGUGCCGCUAGAUGGUGUUGGUAUUGUUUUUUAAAUGGCGAAAUGUGUGAUCGAAUCAGUGAAUGUGUUUUCGAAUUUUCAUGUUUUACUGCCCAAAAUCAACUAAUUAUUUACAUAAAAUGUACCUGCCGUCUAGUCAUCAGAUUAAAUUUGGACCUCAAAAGAUGUUUACACCUUUAAACACUUUUGGUGGGGUUGUUGCGUCAUGAAAUUGUAUUGCUGCCAUUCCCUGCAUCUCCCACUUCAUAGCUACAAGAAACAAGUAAUAGGAAGCCUACAACAGAUUGAGGAAUUCAUAGGUUGUGUCAUUGUGUGGUAUGCCAUUGGAUCCAUUGGAUUUUGCGAGUCAGCCGCCGAUGUCAAUCUACAACGCAGUUUCUUUAUUGGAAUUGUGUGGUCCUGGCAUUGAGAUCCUUGAUGCUGGCCUUUGUCCAUUACAGAAGAGUGACUUCUACCAACUCUCUGCUCCAUCCUUAUCUUCGCUACCCACACUCAUCUAGCUUCUCUGCUUAUUAUGCUGCUUAACAAUUUGCUUCACUGACGAGUUAGACCAGUCGCUUCCGUCCGCCUGUCACUCUCCACGGAAUCAUGCCCAGGAAAUGCAGAUGAAACGUCGAGAAGAUGGAAUUCCGAGACUCGUCAUCAACGUGGAUCAUCGCGACCGGCACCGAGACUCAGACUCGUCAUCCACGUAGAUCAUCGUAUUGUUGGUAUCAUUUCGUUAUGUGUUAGUUAACCCGUUGUCUGCCACGCCUUUGUUCUCCCCUACCUCCUUAGCACGGGCCUCCUAGAGGCCUCCUAUAGCCGUGCAUUCCAUCUUCUCCUGUCACCGUGUCAGCCCGGACUUGUCAGCAAUGGCAAGUCCCUCCUUGGUCACGGAUCCUUCUG